rnacentral:rRNA from 1 species
GAUGAACGCUGGCGGCGUGCCUAAUUCAUGCAAGUCGAGCGAACGGACGAGAAGCUUGCUUCUCUGAUGUUAGCGGCGGACGGGUGAGUAACACGUGGAUAACCUACCUAUAAGACUGGGAUAACUUCGGGAAACCGGAGCUAAUACCGGAUAAUAUUUUGAACCGCAUGGUUCAAAAGUGAAAGACGGUCUUGCUGUCACUUAUAGAUGGAUCCGCGCUGCAUUAGCUAGUUGGUAAGGUAACGGCUUACCAAGGCAACGAUGCAUAGCCGACCUGAGAGGGUGAUCGGCCACACUGGAACUGAGACACGGUCCAGACUCCUACGGGAGGCAGCAGUAGGGAAUCUUCCGCAAAGGGCGAAAGCCUGAUGGAGCAACGCCGCGUGAGUGAUGAAGGUCUUCGGAUCGUAAAACUCUGUUAUUAGGGAAGAACAUAUGUGUAAGUAACUGUGCACAUCUUGACGGUACCUAAUCAGAAAGCCACGGCUAACUACGUG